rnacentral:rRNA from 1 species
AUUGAACGCUAGCGGCAGGCCUAACACAUGCAAGUCGAGCGGAGCGGCGGACGGGUGAGUAAUGCCUAGGAAUCUGCCUGGUAGUGGGGGAUAACUUCCGGAAAGGGUCGCUAAUACCGCAUACUAUUAGAUGAGCCUAGGUCGGAUUAGCUAGUGGGUGGGGUAAAGGCCUACCAAGGCGACGAUCCGUAACUGGUUUGAGAGGACGAACAGGCACACUGGAACGGAGACACGGCCCAGACUCCUACGGGAGGCAGCAGUGGGGAAUUUUGGACAAUGGGGGAAAGCCUGAUCCAGCCAUGCCGCGUGUGCGAAGAAGGCCUUCGGAUUGUAAAGCACUUUCAGCGGGGAGGCGUUACUCACAGAAGAAGCACCGGCUAACUCCGUGCCAGCAGCCGCGGUAAUUC